GCGACCCCAGGUCAGGCGGGAUCACCCGCUGAGUUUAAGCAUAUCAAUAAGCGGAGGAGAAGAAACUAACAAGGAUUCCCUUAGUAACGGCGAGCGAACCGGGAAGAGCCCAGCUUGAAAAUCGGAUGUCUUCGACGUUCGAAUUGUAGUCUGGAGAAGCGUCCUCAGCGACGGACCGGGCUCAAGUUCCCUGGAAAGGGGCGCCAGAGAGGGUGAGAGCCCCGU
rnacentral:rRNA from 1 species